CAUUUCUAGAGAAUCUGCUGUAACGACCCAGCCCACUAGCAAUAAUAAUUCGUUGGGCCCAACCACAGCCCAAAAUGCUUAAGCCCAGUUAUUAUUACUAGUGUCUAAGUCUCUUAUAAACCCAAUAACAACCCCAUUCCUAUCCGAUGUGGGAUUAUUGGGGUCUCACAAACUCCCCCCAUUAAGGCCCUGACGUCCUCGUCAGUCCAAUCACACACAUAGCCCAAGAUCACCAGGCGAUGUGAGACUCGUCUCGCUAGCCCGUCA
rnacentral:lncRNA from 1 species